ensembl:lncRNA
ACAUAUAGAAGGGUACUCCUAUCUUCUAAGUCUCAGAAACAUAAUUAUCUCCCUACAGAUUCCCUGAAAGGGAAAAAUCCCAAGAAUCCAGAGAGCUUAAGAGAAAAAGAGACUGGUAAAAGAAAAGAUGUGAAGUCUCCAGCAACCUUAAAGGAAAAAGACUCUUCAAAACAAAAAGAAACUAAGGCUUCAACUAAUCCUAAGGAAAAAGCUGCAGUGAAAAAGGAGGGGGAGAAGAAAGCUACCUCAGAGAACCCUCAUGAACACAAGCACGAACGUGUUAAACGUGAAAAAACUGUCUCUCAGACUAAGCCAGAGCAUGAAGCAGUCAGACCUGAAAAAGACGUUCCCCUUACAAAACCAGUCAAACCAAAAAACACUGCAAAGCCAACAGCUGAAAUCCCAACAUCAGCCACAAAAAAAAUAAAGACAACUAAGGAAAAAGAAGAAAAACCAACUGAGAAGAAACAGCUGAAAGAUGAAAAAACUAAAGUAAAAGAAGAUCCACGGCAUCAAAACUUGACAUCAGCUCCUGUCCGCUACUUUCAAUGUGUCUUCCUAAAUGGACCUAAUGGAUUUGGCCUGCAAUUUCCUAUUAAUCCCCCUUCAAACAAGGAAGAAAAGGCUCACUCAAAGACUUCCAAGAGAAAGACAAGGAAACCGGGGCAGUAGAGAGACUGAGUCCAAUGAUCACUGACAUUUUGCACUUUAUCUUUUCUGCUGAGGUCCACAGUAGCUACAGUGGUACUUGUCAUUGCAAGAAUGUGAUCCGCUUGCACACAUGUACCUGGAAAAGGUUUCCAUGGGGCAAUGGCAGAACAAGCAGUAAUGAACUGUGUUUAACAAAGGUAGAAAUGUAACAGUGCCCAGUUUCUCAUGGAAAGGCUGCAAUGCUAACAAAGCAUUGAUGUGACUGUGUGUGUGAGCAUGUGCGUGUGUUUCCAUGCCUCUUUUGCUCUUGUUUUACUUUACCUACAUGCUCAGCAUUGAAGUGAGUCUGUUUUCCAUUUAAUCUUAUCUAAGGAGUGAAAGGUUGAAUGUAGCUCUUAUAUCAGCAAGAUUGCAAGACUAGCUGCAAUCCUAAACCAUUUCUUCUUAACGUUCAAUCAAAUUUCUGACAGGAAAAUGCCUCACUAAGUCAUGAAAAUGUGCUUUGUGACUGGUGCUAUUUUUAUGUCUCAUUGACCAGUGUAGCCCGAAGCUCACACUUACUUGGAGCAGCUCAAUACACUAUCAGUAAGUUGACUCCACAAGUCAUGCUAAUGAUGAAUUUUCUAUUUAGUCUGAAACUGUAAAAGCAUGGACUGUUUGCCCUGCCUGUUGGUAAAAUACAAGCUCUUCUCUUCCUAAGGCCCAAAGUGAGAAGAGAAAGUGAAACCACAUGUCAAAGGUUAGGAAAAUCACUGUUUUACCAACAUGAAGGUCUGAAGAAACAAAUGAAAUAAUUAUAGUGCUUCCACUUUUCUUCUGCAGCUAAAUCUGAUUGUUUUUCAGCAAAAACCAUGUAAAUGGACAAUAUACCACCCAACAAUUUGCCAUUAGCUUAAGCCAGAUGAAAAGCUAGGAUGUGAGAUGCCAUUCACAAAACUAAAGCAACCCAAAUUUCCAGUAAUUAUGUGAAUUUAAUGCUAUCUCAGAUCAGUGAACAACAGCAAAAACCAAAAUCCCAACAAAGAAAGAAUCAGAAGAAAAUUAAACAUAAACACAUUAAAUAACCCAGGUAUCUCAUUUUACUAAAUGAAAUUAAUGGACUUCCUCACAGCACACUACUGUAAAUGGCUUACAGUAGAACUGAAAGUAGAUGUGCUUGUCCUCAACCUUCUUUUGUGCAUUUAUGUAGAAAUAAAGGAUUUGUUGCCCUAAAAAAUAGACA